rnacentral:sRNA from 1 species
CCGUGCGGAAGGGCUGUUUCAAUGAAUCAGUGAAACGCCCUGACAGAGCCGUGAAGAACU